CCUACGGGUGGCAGCAGUAGGGAAUUUUCGGCAAUGGGGGGAACCCUGACCGAGCAACGCCGCGUGAACGAAGAAGUUAUUCGUAAUGUAAAGUUCUUUUAACAGGGAAGAAAGAGAAAUUUGACGGUACCUGAAGAAUAAGCUCCGGCAAACUACGUGCCAGCAGCCGCGGUAAAACGUAGGGAGCGAGCUUUAUCGGGAAUUCUUGGGCGAAAAGGGUGCGUAGAUGGCAUAGUAAGUCUUUUGUAAAAAUGCUGGGCUAAACCCAGUAGGGCAAAAGAUACUGCAAAGCUAGAGUAUGACAGAGGCAAGUGGAACUACAUGUGUAGCGGUAAAAUGCGUAAAUAUAUGUAAGAACACCAGUGGCGAAGGCGGCUUGCUGGGUCGAUACUGACAUUGAGGCACGAAAGCGUGGGGAGCAAACAGGAUUAGAUACCCCGGUAGUC
rnacentral:rRNA from 1 species